rnacentral:rRNA from 1 species
ACAAUGCGGGACUAUCAGUCUUGCAAUUGGAUUGAGAACAAUGUACAACUCUUAUCGAUAAGCCAUUGGAGGGCAAGUCUGGUGCCAGCAGCCGCGGUAAUUCCAGCUCCAAUAGCGUAUAUUAACGUUGUUGCAGUUAAAAAGCUCGUAGUUGAAGUGUGGGUGAUCGCUGUUGUGAGACUUCGGUCUCUCGACAGUAAGUCACCCCCUUCCAGUAUCCAGUAGUGGGUAUUCACUUACUUACUACUGUGUGUUGGUCCUUUACUGUGAGAAAAUUAGAGUGUUCAAAGCAGGCGUUUGCUUGAAUAGAUUAGCAUGGAAUAAUAAUUGAAGGCUUUCGUGUUCGAUUUGAUUGGUUUGUUCAUGGAAGCAAGGUUAAAAGGAACAGUUGGGGGUAUUCAUACACACUAGUUAGAGGUGAAAUUCUCGGAUUUAUGGAA